UACGAAGGGGGCUAGCGUUGCUCGGAAUCACUGGGCGUAAAGCGCACGUAGGCGGAUUGCUAAGUCAGGGGUGAAAUCCUGGAGCUCAACUCCAGAACUGCCUUUGAUACUGGCGGUCUCGAGUCCGGGAGAGGUGAGUGGAACUGCGAAGUGUAGAGGUGAAAUUCGUAGAUAUUCGCAAGAACACCAGUGGCGAAGGCGGCUCACUGGCCCGGUACUGACGCUGAGGUGCGAAAGCGUGGGGAGCAAACAGG
rnacentral:rRNA from 1 species